UACGUAGGGUGCGAGCGUUAAUCGGAAUUACUGGGCGUAAAGCGUGCGCAGGCGGUUUUGUAAGCCAGAUGUGAAAGCCCCGGGCUUAACCUGGGAAUGGCAUUUGGGACUGCAAGGCUUGAGUGCGGCAGAGGAGACUGGAAUUCCUGGUGUAGCAGUGAAAUGCGUAGAUAUCAGGAGGAAUACCGAUGGCGAAGGCAGGUCUCUGGGCUGACACUGACGCUCAUGCACGAAAGGCGUGGGGAG
rnacentral:rRNA from 1 species